GAUGAACGCUGGCGGCGUGCCUAAUACAUGCAAGUCGAGCGAACAGACGAGGAGCUUGCUUCUCUGACUUUAGCGGCGGACGGGUGAGUAACACGUGGAUAACCUACCUAUAAGACUGGGAUAACUUCGGGAAACCGGAGCUAAUACCGGAUAAUAUAUUGAACCGCAUGGUUCAAUAGUGAAAGACGGUUUUGCUGUCACUGAUAGAUGGAUCCGCGCCGCAUUAGCUAGUUGGUAAGGUAACGGCUUACCAAGGCAACGAUGCGUAGCCGACCUGAGAGGGUGAUCUGCCACACUUGAACUGAGACACGGUCCAGACUCCUACGGGAGGCAGCAGUAGGGAAUCUUCCGCAAUGGGCGAAAGCUUGACGGAGCAACGCCGCGUGAGUGAUGAAGGUCUUCGGAUCGUAAACCUCUGUUAUUAGGGAAGAACAAAUGUGUAAGUAACUAUGCACGUCUUGACGGUACCUAAUCAGAAAGCCACGGCUAACUACGUG
rnacentral:rRNA from 1 species